GCACCCAUAGCUCAGGCGGAUAGAGCGGUCGUUUCCUAAACGACGUCUUGGGGGGGUUCGAAUCCCUCUGGGUGCACCA
rnacentral:tRNA from 1 species